rnacentral:rRNA from 1 species
AUGAGCAAGGCAGACCACGACAUCGCCCUCAUCAUCCGCAGCGACCCUGCUCCGCCGGUGCUGACCAGGUGUUCGAGAGACGGUCAACUCCGGGAUGGCGAGUGGGUGAAGCCUGUUCAUCUUGUGGACAGGAGCAAAACCUCAUGCCUGCCACCGAUACAGCAAGGAAUCGGGCAGCAACCAUGGCCGUCACUUGUGCGAGUGAGAACCAGACACAGCGGACACCUAUUCAGGCCUAGGCCAUGGCCGUCUUUCAAGUUUCAUUCAGAUGCAAGUUGUCAGGAGGAGCCAUGUUCAGUUUCUUAUUGUGAGGUGAUUGUCGUGGAAGAUGAUGUUGUUUUGUGCCUUGGCAUUGCUGGCGGAUGCGUCAUUAGUGCCUCUGAUUAUGUUUGGUGGCCACCGGACCAUCAGGCAAAGAUGAGGAGCACAUUGCAACAAUUUCUACAUGACACUCAGUUGCAUAUUUCCAUGGGAUUAUCAGUGGAGCAGCAGUCCUGGCCUAUUGAGCAGCUUACUUUCUUGGUUUCCCAUGAGCCGAGGGAUUGUCUUGAUGGGACUAGUGCACAUGCUGGAACAAUGAGAAUGGAAUUCAACAUUCAGUCUGCUUUUCCUAACUCUCUUGAACAAUUCUAA